rnacentral:tRNA from 1 species
GGAAGGUAGCCGGAUACGGUUGGCCGGACCGCACUGCUAACGCGGCUCUCCACUGGAGAUGAGGGUUCGAAUCCCUUGCCUUCCGC